ACUCAUCUUCCCCCUUACCAUCAUUCGGUGCACCAAAACCAUGCCCAGGCAAGGAGACCUCGACGGACCGAUUGAAGACAGGAGGUGAAUCUUCAGACUCGCGACGAUACCGGUAGUAACACCGUUGAGCCAAGUGACCAAAGCGGUUACAAAUCUGGCAUUGAAUCCGGGGCUUGAAGUUCCGUUCACAACCACGAGGAGACGAUCGACCACCACGAACGGAGCCGUCGCCCACUGACGCUGAUUCAACCAGAUUCGCAUGAAGGCUGACAUCCUGAGUCACACGAUGAAGGCGAGUUUCGCACUCAACUAGUGCAUUGACAACCCGUUGAAGAGAAAGGGGACCAUUUGAUAACGAAACGGACGAGACUACACUCUCAAACUCCGGAGGCAGGCCAGCAAGAAUAAUCUCCAACUUCUCAGUAUCCGAGAUCCGCGAGCCUGAAGUUUGAAGAAUAGAACAAAUAUUCUUAAUGCGAGUAACAUAAGCAAUGACAGACAGAGUACCUUUCUUCAACGAAUGUAACUCGUGACGGAGCCGCGACUGCUUGGCACCAGUAUCGGCAGCAAACAGUUCCGAAGUAGUGUUCCAAACAUCAUACGCUGAUCUAGCCUCAGUGAAAGACGGCAAAAGCGCAACUUCGAUGGUAAAGAGAAGCCAAGACGUGAGGAGACGAUCUUGUUGUUUGAACACCAGCGCGGAUGGAUUCAGUGCUAAGACACCAUCGGCAGUGUGAACGUUCCGAGGUGGUAGAGGAACAGUACCAUCAAGGAAACCAAGAAGGUCAUAGCCAUCAAGAAUCAGCUUGACUUGCUGUUGCCAGAGAACAUACGUUGCAUCAGUUAGUUUAACCACAUCAUGAUGGGGAAAGGAAUGUACCACACGUUCACCAUUGAAGAGAACAGCACUCGGCUCAGUCGAGUCAGAAUCAGCAGAGGUUGUGAUGACCAUAAAGCCCAAGAUCAGCCGGCGAAAAAUACCAUAUUAGAAACCAGGUAAAAAUAAAAGAAACUGUUCUUCUUUGAUUUAUGAAACUUGCUUUAUUACAUGCUCACUUGAAAUCCUUUUAUAUAGACUUCCUCAACUGCUCUUAACAGCUUAACAAUAUUCAACAGCUAAUUAACAGACUAACAGCUAACAAUCUAACUAACUGAUCCUUUACAGUUGGCAAGAUAGAUGGUGGGAUUUUUCUCUAAGGAGAUUUCAUCUGUUUAGCAUUUAUUUUUUAACCAAACUUGAAUGUCCAACAAAUAUGACAAACUGUCCUUUUUUGAGAUCCACCAUGAUGGACCUAUAUGAAUUAUGAUGUCUCUCCAUCUUCACACCACCAACUUAUUGACAAGAUUCUUAAUUUCAUCAUAAACCCUUCACUUUCUCCCUUUGUAAUCUGUUUUUGUUUCUUCAUCACUAGUCCCAGGGUCACAUUGCAGUUUUCAUAUGAUCAGAUUGUUAUACACAGAAAAAAAAAUCAAUCAUGAAGGACCAUGUUGUGUUAUAUCAUUGUUGAGCAAGUAAAAAAGUUGUGAGUUAAUCAUAUGAGAACUUUUUUUUUAUUGCUUUAGGAUGUAAUUCGAGUAAAUAUUUGAUUAAAUAAACAUGUUAUAAGUUGUUAUACUAUUUGUAUAUUUGAAAUUUUAGUUUCUCUACUUUUCAAAUAUUAAAAUGUAUGUCCAAUUAUUAACAUUGUUAAAAUUCUUUGAUUAAAUUAAGGUUCAUUACAACUUUGGUAAAUUUUUUACACGACAACUAAGUGAGUUUUUUUUUUCUUAUUUCAAAAUGUCAUACUAGUGAAUUUAACAGAAGAAUUCUAUCGGUGUAAACAAUUAGACUUGAAAUUUAUAAUCUGAAAAAUAUAGAGACUAAAUUAUUAGAAAUAAAAGUAGAAAAACUAAAUUACAAAUGUACAACUUAAAGCAUUUUUUUACAAUUUUUCUCAUAUUUUAGACUGCAAAUUUUUCAUAAAAAAAUAUUUUUUAUAUUAUGUAUGUGAAAUAUAUUUAUGAAUAUAUAUUUAUAUUUAUUAUAUAUUUAAUUGUGGUGUUUUUAAUAGGACAAAAUUUUAAUUGUGAAAAAAAAGCAAACAAUUAUUUAUAUAUACAACCAAACCCUAAUUAUAAAAGAAGUAAAUAAUAUUAUUUGAUAUAUUAAUAAUAGAAUUUCCACAGACCAGAGAUUAAAAAAUCAUCUUAUAUUUUAUAAAAUUUUUAAAAUAUCAAUUAAAAAUAUAAGGUUGACUUGAGAUCCUAAAUAUAUAUAUAAACAUAUAUACAUAUAGACACACAUAAGAAUAUUAGGAUGAUAAGAACAAAAGGAGCAGAUUAGUGUUCAGAAAAUUUAAGUGUUUUCUCUUAAAUUUAUUGAUAUUUAUUUAAAAAAGGAGAGAAUUUUGGUAAAAGCAUUAUCGAGUCUUUGUAUUAAGAGUUAAAUUGUCAAAAAAUGAGUAAAUUUAUCUUGUAUUCUAGAUUAAAGAAUAAUCUAAUUAUUUAAAAAUUCAACAAUUUCAACUAUUAAAAACUUAUGUGACUGACAAAAUAACUAGACGAUUACCUACAGUGUCUUACAUGUACCUCAUGCUAACAUACAUGAACUAACUUUUAACAGAAGGAUCAGUUUGCUAUUUACUCAUUUUUUGAGUAAAAGCGAUAAAAAACAAUCCGACUCCUAACAUAAGUACCUCUAUAAUACUUUUACUAGAAAUUUACACUGUUCUAAUGUUUAUUGCAUGAGUUUAUAUCCCUAAGACAUGUUAAGGCGAAGUAGCCUUCCAUUGUUGCUGGCAAAAAAAAGUCAUCUCUAUAUGGGGAAUUACACAUAAACAGACAAGGUUCAAUAGAAUCCCUACAAAAUGAAGUACUGAUGAAACAUUGUACUAUUACUAACAAAACGAUUUGAUAUUAUCUUUCAUAUAAUUUCUUAGACAAACUUCUGGUACUGCAUUUUGCAUGUUCUUUUCAAUCAAAGCUCAAAGGGAGAUGAACCAGCAAUUGCAGCCAUGGAUGGAGCCACAGUUUGCUGAACACAUUGACAAGUGACACAUUAUGACCCACCAUUAGAAUUAUGAGCUUCACAUGUAAAAUUUAUGGUUUAUGGAUUUGACCCACCAUGAGUUAAUAUAUCUGCCCCACUUGGUAGAUAUAACUUCAUGCAAUAGAAUAAAUAACUAGUUAUGAUGA
rnacentral:lncRNA from 1 species